CACAUGCAAGUCGAACGAGCGAGAGAGAGCUUGCUUUCUCGAGCGAGUGGCGAACGGGUGAGUAACGCGUGAGGAACCUGCCUCAAAGAGGGGGACAACAGUUGGAAACGACUGCUAAUACCGCAUAAGCCCACGGUGCCGCAUGGCACUGAGGGAAAAGGAUUUAUUCGCUUUAGGAUGGACUCGCGUCCAAUUAGCUAGUUGGUGAGGUAACGGCCCACCAAGGCGACGAUUGGUAGCCGGACUGAGAGGUUGAACGGCCACAUUGGGACUGAGACACGGCCCAGACUCCUACGGGAGGCAGCAGUGGGGGAUAUUGCACAAUGGGGGAAACCCUGAUGCAGCGACGCCGCGUGGAGGAAGAAGGUUUUCGGAUUGUAAACUCCUGUCGUUAGGGACGAUAAUGACGGUACCUAACAAGAAAGCACCGGCUAACUACGUGCCAGCAGCCGCGGUAAAACGUAGGGUGCAAGCGUUGUCCGGAAUUACUGGGUGUAAAGGGAGCGCAGGCGGGAAGACAAGUUGGAAGUGAAAACCAUGGGCUCAACCCAUGAAUUGCUUUCAAAACUGCUGGCCUUGAGUAGUGCAGAGGUAGGUGGAAUUCCCGGUGUAGCGGUGGAAUGCGUAGAUAUCGGGAGGAACACCAGUGGCGAAGGCGGCCUACUGGGCACCAACUGACGCUGAGGCUCGAAAGUGUGGGUAGCAAACAGGAUUAGAUACCCUGGUAGUCCACACCGUAAACGAUGAUUACUAGGUGUUGGAGGAUUGACCCCUUCAGUGCCGCAGUUAACACAAUAAGUAAUCCACCUGGGGAGUACGACCGCAAGGUUGAAACUCAAAGGAAUUGACGGGGGCCCGCA
rnacentral:rRNA from 1 species